rnacentral:rRNA from 2 species
GUAAACGGCGGCCGUAACUAUAACGGUCCUAAGGUAGCGAAAUUCCUUGUCGGGUAAGUUCCGACCUGCACGAAUGGCGUAAUGAUGGCCAGGCUGUCUCCACCCGAGACUCAGUGAAAUUGAACUCGCUGUGAAGAUGCAGUGUACCCGCGGCAAGACGGAAAGACCCCGUGAACCUUUACUAUAGCUUGACACUGAACAUUGAGCCUUGAUGUGUAGGAUAGGUGGGAGGCUUUGAAGUGUGGACGCCAGUCUGCAUGGAGCCGACCUUGAAAUACCACCCUUUAAUGUUUGAUGUUCUAACGUUGACCCGUAAUCCGGGUUGCGGACAGUGUCUGGUGGGUAGUUUGACUGGGGCGGUCUCCUCCUAAAGAGUAACGGAGGAGCACGAAGGUUGGCUAAUCCUGGUCGGACAUCAGGAGGUUAGUGCAAUGGCAUAAGCCAGCUUGACUGCGAGCGUGACGGCGCGAGCAGGUGCGAAAGCAGGUCAUAGUGAUCCGGUGGUUCUGAAUGGAAGGGCCAUCGCUCAACGGAUAAAAGGUACUCCGGGGAUAACAGGCUGAUACCGCCCAAGAGUUCAUAUCGACGGCGGUGUUUGGCACCUCGAUGUCGGCUCAUCACAUCCUGGGGCUGAAGUAGGUCCCAAGGGUAUGGCUGUUCGCCAUUUAAAGUGGUACGCGAGCUGGGUUUAGAACGUCGUGAGACAGUUCGGUCCCUAUCUGCCGUGGGCGCUGGAGAACUGAGGGGGGCUGCUCCUAGUACGAGAGGACCGGAGUGGACGCAUCACUGGUGUUCGGGUUGUCAUGCCAAUGGCACUGCCCGGUAGCUAAAUGCGGAAGAGAUAAGUGCUGAAAGCAUCUAAGCACGAAACUUGCCCCGAGAUGAGUUCUCCCUGACUCCUUGAGAGUCCUGAAGGAACGUUGAAGACGACGACGUUGAUAGGCCGGGUGUGUAAGCGCAGCGAUGCGUUGAGCUAACCGGUACUAAUGAACCGUGAGGCUUAACCUU